GAGGCAGCAGUGGGGAAUUUUGCGCAAUGGGGGAAACCCUGACGCAGCAACGCCGCGUGGAGGAUGAAGUCCCUUGGGGCGUAAACUCCUUUCGACCAAGACGAUAAUGACGGUACUGGUGGAAGAAGCACCGGCUAACUCUGUGCCAGCAGCCGCGGUAAUACAGAGGGUGCGAGCGUUGUUCGGAAUUAUUGGGCGUAAAGGGCGCGUAGGCGGUGCCACAAGUCACCUGUGAAAUCUCCGGGCUUAACUCUGAGCCUGCAGGCGAAACUGUGGUGCUGGAGUAUGGGAGAGGUGCGUGGAAUUCCCGGUGUAGCGGUGAAAUGCGUAGAUAUCUGGAGGAACACCUGUGGCGAAAGCGGCGCUCUGGACCAUAACUGACGCUGAGGCGCGAAAGCUAGGGGAGCAAACACGAUUAGAUACCCUGGUAGUCCUAGCCCUAAACGAUGAGUGCUUGGUGUAGCAGGUACCCAAUCCUGCUGUGCCGCAGCUAACGCGAUAAGC
rnacentral:rRNA from 1 species